rnacentral:rRNA from 1 species
GUGAGCUAUCCCUGGGCAGGCUGAAGCGGGGGUAAGACCCCGUGGAGGGCCGAACGGACGUACGUUGAAAAGUGCGCCGAUGACCUGGGGAUAGGGGUGAAAGGCCUAUCAAACCCGGAGAUAUCUCGUUCUCCCCGAAAUAGCUUUAGGGCUAGCGUCGAGAGUUAACCGCCGGAGGUAGAGCACCGGAUCGAUGAGGGGGCUUCGCCGCCUACCGAUUCGAACCGAACUCCGAAUGCCGGUCGGUCCAUAUCUCGGCAGUCAGAGCAUGUGGGCUAAGCUGUGUGCUCGAGAGGGAAACAGCCCAGACCGCCCGCUAAGGCCCCCAAUUCUCAGUUAAGUGGCAAAGGAUGUGCGUCCGCGCAGACAACCAGGAGGUUGGCUUAGAAGCAGCCACCCCUUCAAAGAGUGCGUAACAGCUCACUGGUCGAGUGGACAUGCGCCGACAAUACACGGGGCUAAACUGAGAGCCGAAGCGGCGGCAAUGAGAUUUCAUUGGGUAGGGGAGCGUCCCCAGCGGGGCGAAGCCGGAGGGUCACCGACGGUGGACUGCUGGGGAGUGAGAAUGCUGGCAUGAGUAGCGAGAGACGAGAGAGUAACUCGUCCGCCGUAAACCCGAGGUUUCCUGGGCGAGGCUAAUCCUCCCAGGGUCAGUCGGGGGCUAAGCCGAGGGCGGAAGCCGUAGGCGACGCGCAGCAGGUGGACAUUCCUGCACCGGAGAUGCACCGUCACGACCGACGGGGCGACGGAUUGGGGUGGCUCGGCGGGGUUCUGGACGUCCCCGUGAUGGAGCGCGGCCCGGAGACCAGGCAAAUCCGGUCUCCACGAGGGCGAGGCUCCGGACGAAGCGACUGAGCGAAGCGAGUGAGCCCGUGGUCCCCAGAAAAACCCCUAGGCAGGGGCAUCUCCGCCCGUACCGCAAACCGACACAGGUGGGUGGGUAGAACAUACCGAGGCGAUCGGGUCAACCAUGGUCAAGGAACUCGGCAAAAUGGCCCCGUAACUUCGGGAGAAGGGGCGCCGGCGCGUACGUGGACCCACUUGCUGGGCGAGCGGAGGCCGGCCGCAGUGAAGAGGCCCAAUCGACUGUUUACCAAAAACACAGGACUCUGCAGAAGGCGAGAGCCGACGUAUAGGGUCUGACGCCUGCCCGGUGCCGGAAGGUCACGCGGAGGGGUUAGCGCGAGCGAAGCCCCGAAGCCAAGCCCCGGUAAACGGCGGCCGUAACUAUAACGGUCCUAAGGUAGCGAAAUUCCUUGUCGGGUAAGUUCCGACCUGCACGAAAGGCGCAACGAAUUGGGCGCUGUCUCGACCAUGGACCCGGUGAAAUUCCACUAGUCGUGAAGAUGCGACUUACCCGCGGAAGGACGGAAAGACCCCGUGAACCUUCACUGCAGCUUGGCAUUGGCCGCUGGCCCGUCGCGUAGAGGAUAGGCGGGAGGCUUCGAAGCCCGGGCGCCAGCCCGGGUGGAGCCGACCUUGGAAUACCGCCCUCGGCGCGCCGGCGUCCUAACCCCAUGCCGUCAUCCGGAUGGGGGACCGUGCCAGGUGGGUAGUUUGACUGGGGCGGUCGCCUCCUAAAGGGUAACGGAGGCGCGCGAAGGUCCGCUCGGGACGGUCGGCAACCGUCCUCUUGAGUGCAAGAGCAUAAGCGGGCUUGACUGCGAGGCCUACAAGCCGAGCAGGUGCGAAAGCAGGCUCUAGUGAUCCGGCGGCCCCGCGUGGGUGGGCCGUCGCUCAACGGAUAAAAGGUACUCCGGGGAUAACAGGCUGAUCUUGCCCAAGAGUCCACAUCGACGGCAAGGUUUGGCACCUCGAUGUCGGCUCAUCGCAUCCUGGGGCUGGAGCAGGUCCCAAGGGUACGGCUGUUCGCCGUUUAAAGCGGUACGCGAGCUGGGUUCAGAACGUCGUGAGACAGUUCGGUCCCUAUCCUCCGCGGGCGCAGGAGAAUCGAGGGAGGCUGCCCCUAGUACGAGAGGACCGGGGUGGACGCACCUCUGGUGAACCGGUUGUCGACCAACGGCACGGCCGGGUAGCCACGUGCGGCGCGGAUAACCGCUGAAGGCAUCUAAGCGGGAAGCCGUUCCCGAGAUCAGUUCUCCUUCCGGUAAGGGCCCAGGUAGACUACCUGGUCGAUAGGCCGCAGGUGCAAGCACGGCGACGUGCUCAGCCGAGCGGUACUAAUAGCCCGAGCUCUUACCCG